rnacentral:lncRNA from 10 species
AUUGCUUCCCUGUUGAAGUGAAGAUAUAAAUGUUCCAUUCUGACCCACCUUUGAAAAACAAUUACUUUGCCCCAUGGAUUCUUUGUUCAAUUAGAAAUUUCCCCGGGGCAGGUGACCCAUAGUCUUAAAGAACAGGCUAAACACCACAGAGAGAUUGGUUGCUUUUUGCUUUUCAUCACCUGCAAGAUGUACAUAAAAAUCACAUAAGCUGGAAUUCAACAAAAGACCUCUGACUAUGUGAAGAUACGGUGGGAAGAUGACUGACCGCAAGACAGGAAGAGAGCCCUCACCGAGGAACCAAAUUGGCCAGUAUCUUGAUUUUGGAUUUCUCAACCUCAAGAACCAUGAGAAAUGAAUGUCUGCUGUUCAAGCCACCCAGUCAAUGAAAAAGUUUGGAAACCUUCAUCUAGAAAGUGGUCUAGCAAAGUGUGGUCCAUGGAUGAGUUUGAUCUGCAAACUGCUUGUUAUUGGUUCAUGACAAGAAUUGGUUCCAAACAGUAAAGCCGCCAGAAAAAACAGACAAACUCUUAGGAACAAC